CGGGGGAAUUAUCUACCAUAAUUAUUUUGCUAGCGUAGUAGUGAGGUUCGUUCAUCGCCAUGUACCUUAGGUCUAUAUUUAGAGGUCCAAGACUUGGUACCUGUAGAAAUAGGUAUUUAGGAAUUAAAAUCGAGGUUUUAAAGUGCACUAGAAUAAAGCGUUGAAAGAUCCUAGAGAAGUCGGAAAUGGAAGAUUACGUAGAAUAUAUUCAAGAUGGCGGAGUCAUCGCCCGGUAGAGAACGUAGUUACUGCGCAAUUAAGUUUGACGUCUAUAAAAUGGCUAGAAAACAGCUGGAGUUCAAGGAUUAUAAUAAAAGAUAUGCCACUGCUCAGUCUGAAGAGACUUCGAAUAAAGGUAUAAUUACCAUUUAACUUAAUCAAGGUGGUAUAUCUUUUAUGUGUUAAAGCUUAGGUAAAUUAGGCGUUAAAGGGAAACUAUUAGAAAACGAAUUAUCGAGUUACGGGCAGGCAGGUCGGUCCGUUAGUCAACGUUGUUACUGGUCCAGUUGACAGCGUCGUUUCUCGUACUUCAUAUUUGGUCCGCGGCAAGGCGUCCGUUGUAGAGAAAUGUCCCUUUAGGGAAUUUUAAAAUAUUCUCUAGAAAGAUAUUUAUUAUAUAUAUUGGAGCUGCAGGCAGGCUUGUUCGCGAUAGGAGUUUUUAAUCAAUAAGAGAUAGACGUCGAAUAUACGUGGAAAAAUACUAAUGUAGACUACAUGCAUUAAUAUAAAUAAAGUUCUUAAAUAUCAAUCGCCAAUAUUUUAAAUUUCAGUUGCUAAAUUUUUACGCGGAUGCAGAAAUCAAAUUUAUCCCUUUUUAAAACGGAACUAAGUCAAACUUAACCUUCUAAGAUCGUUAUAGAAAGGUAGUUUUUUUAAUUUAACAAUAUCUUCAAAUAGCAUCGAAACAGGGUAAGGAUAAGGCCUAAUUUAGCAUGAUAUGCAUUUAUUUGACUCGGAGAACGAUAUGUUUGAUAUGAAUUGAAAAAGGUCAGUGCGGAAUUAAAACUGAAUCAAGUAUGCGAAAUAAAAAUCCAGGAAAUGCUGAUAAGGAUCAUUCAAAUAAUAUUGAAUUUAUUCGAAAAAGACAAAAAUUUCUCCUGCACAAAAUAUAGAUCCGAACAAAUAUAUAAAAAAUGAAAAUAGAACAUACUUUUUAAUGACAAGGAGGAAGGAUAGAUAAUCUUAAAGGUCUGUCCAUAGUUUCGCUUAGUAAAACAUUUUUAUAUUAAAAAGAAAAUGUGACAAUUCCUUUAUGUUUUUGUCUUUACAGAGUCUUUAAACAUUGCUUUAAAAUUUGUAGCAAUUUGGUACAUUGGAUUUUAAUCAUUAAAGUUGAGCGAAACGUUAAAAAUAAUACGUGUUAACGUAUCGGAAUGAAAUUAUAUGAAUGAUUGAACGAUAUUAAGUUAUACGGACCAAAAAAUUAGGAUAAAAUAAACCUAUAGACGAUUUGAUUGAUUUUGAGAUUUUAAGAAAACAAAAAUGAGUACUAGUUUAGGACACUAUUACCAUAAAAGUAUUAUACCGAUCUAGUGGCAAACGGUUGGAAAGAAGUUCAUAUUAAAGAGACAAGAUUAUAAAUAUUGUUUAAAAACGACGCGUGAGGUAUAGGUACAAAUAUAUCGUCAUGCUGCUAAUCUAUUGAAGAGCUUUAGAAAUUAAUUACUGCUGAAUCAGUAAAUGUGCGUUACGAGUAGUUGAGUAUUGGCACGUGAACCAGUAAUAAUGAAAAUCCUUAAAACCCAAAAAUAGGCAAAACUAUUACAUGAUACACAGAUUUCGCUAUUUCAUAACAAGGUCAUUUAAAUAAGAUACAAAGGAAAGAUUAGUUUUGGAAAUGACUGCCUCAAAAAUGCCACAACAAUUUCAUUGGAACAGACAUAAGAUAAGUAAUAAUUUUGAGAAACUUAGAAAAACAUUUUACACCGAGCUCGGAAAAUAACAAUCGGAUCUUACGGAUUAACAAGUAAUUAUCUAAAAUCUAAAUUUAUACACGAGACGAAAGGUCAGUGCAUAUGUGCAUUUAUGUAUUAAAUAUAUUUGUAUGUAUUUUAUGUGUUUAUAUUAUACUAGCUAUAUUAUUUUUGCUUCGUUACUAUUAAUGCUCUUUAACCGGGAAAUGAAGUUCAGGUAAACAUGCCAUAUUCAUUGAUGUAAGUUAUCUCACACCUCAGAAAGGUCACGGAACACCUAAGCAUGAACCUAUUCACUUUAGCAGGAAAAUUAAUUUAAUUUUUAGGUUGAUUUUCAUAAUUGUUUGUAUUAAUUUGCACAUUCUCAAGAAAGAAAAAUAGAAGAGUGAGAAAAUCAAGUAAUGAAUAAAGAAAUAUUUCAAGAAUUAAGAAGAUUAGUUAUAGCUAAUCUAAAUAAUUUAAGUGGUUUAAAUGUGCAGUUUUUACAAGUAUAAUGUUAAUGCAAGUAAAUUGUGGAUAUAGAGGAAAGUUUGAAAUAGUUGAGUGAUGGUUAAUAUGUGGUUGUUUUAAUAUUUGUUUAAAUAUGUUGAAAUAUGACACGCUUUUAUCUGUCAGCCACAUGUAGAAAUAACUAAUAGCAUGAUAACGGGUAGCUAUUUCAACAUCGUGGAGUUAGUGAGAGUGCUAAUAUUGGUUUCAGUGGUGAUGAAGUUUGAGGAAAGCUUAAACAGGCUGUAAGCAAUGUUUGUUGUGUUCGUGAAGUGCUUAUUUCAACUUUAUAAAGCAGAGUAAUGAAAAACUAAAUUUGCGUUUCGCUUAUAAAACCCAUCACCCCGUAAACACUUGUAGGAAAUUAUCUGUUCACAGAAUUUUACUAUCAUGCUCGCUUGAAACACAAACAUAAUGGAUUUGUAGAAUAAACAAACCUGGUAUUUACGUGACUAAUGUCCUAAUGACCGGAGGUCCUCAAUUAAUGGAAAGUCCAAAGCAAGCUUCAGGCACGUGCUUGUCUAGAAUUUCAGCAUUUUGUCCCUUAGACCUAGAUCUCGCUAACAGUGUGCUUUCAGAAUUAGACCUGUUACGCUUUCAAAUUGUGGAUGAGGGAUAGCUUAGAAUUCAUCAAAAUCUGCUGAUACAUCAGGCAAGUUAAAAGCCCGCAAAACACAUUUGAGAAAGACAUCAAAACGCACAAUGGAAUUUCUUCGAUUAAAUUGGUUGUUGGAAAUUUUCCUUAAAAGCUUUUACUAGACAUAUAAUUCAGGUUUCAAGUGUCUGCAAAUUGCUAUUCAGAGAGACCACAUCUUUCUAUGUAAUGUAUAACGUAACGCUUUCUUAGAAAAAAAUACCUACACCUAACAUAAGGAAACGGGAGAGGCCAAAAACUACUCUAAAAUGGUAAUACUUGUUAAUGUAUUGCAUGAAAAUUAACUUCACUUUAACACGACUAGUAGAUAGGGAACGGCUUUUAGUAUGUUUCAGAUUUUUACGGCUAAGCUAAUGUCGCACGAGACUGCAUAGAUUAAUGGAAUUUUUCAUAAGCUAGGCAAAAACGCUUUAUCAGCACUUCAUGAAUAUUACACAGGUACUUUCACCAUAAUAGGUUUAGGAACACAAACAUUUUCAAAUGUUUUUUCAGAUUCGUUGGAAAGCUCAUCAUUGGUAAUGCACGAUUAUGCUUAAGCAGUUUAAAGGAAAUCACUUAGCGUAAGAUAUUAAAUCCGUAUUUUUAAUGUUAUGUUUAGUGCCACUAAUCAAGUAUUUCAGGAAAAUAUAUAAAACAUAGAAAAUCAAUAAAAAAGACAUUGAAUUGUCUAAUAGGAAUAAAAUAACGGAAUCUAUGAGGGACUGUGAUAUCAAAAACGGUAAAAAUAAAUACUUAACAAAUAUUGUCUACGCGGUGUAGAUUUUAAGUAAGUAAUGAUUAAUAUAUUUUAUUUUUCAAAUCGAGAAUUGGUUAGGGUGCAACUAACUUGUUUCAGAUUAAACUUCCGAAAUAUCUGAAGAUCACCAAUUAACAGAAGCUUUUAAUUAUAUUUUUUGGAAUCUGUAAUUUAUUAAAAAUAUGGAACAAAACAAAAUGUAAAAGUAUCAAUGUCUGAUCAUGAAACUUAUUAUGCAAACUCGCUGUAAGAAAUAUAAUUAAAUUAUUGACGUAUGAAAAAUGUUUUCAUAAAACAAAAGAAUGUAUAAUAUAAUUUUACAAAUAGCAACUGGUUUUCAUUUAAUAUAUGUAUAUUCGAAGAAGUCGGUUUUGUUUCUCUUUAUUUACAGACAUCUGGUUUAUAGCGAUCACAUCACCGCAUCAAGUGACCUCCAUGUAAUAACGUUUGACUUUAUUUAUAUAUAUUGCAAUUUAUAUUACCUAGGUUAGGAGUCCAAUGUACAUAUUUCAGAUAAUAAGGAGCGGUAUAUCCGCGUAAUUUUUUUUUCUUUUACCACUGUUCCCAGAAAUCGGCAUGGCGACGCGAGCCCAAGCCAAACAUGUUUAGCCACCAAGGCAAAUUAGGUAAAAAUAUUAAACUCUAUCACAAUUUCUAUUAUGGAACUUAUACUUAAAAAAUUAUAAUACGUAAGUUUUUAUUGAUUAUUACUACUAUCAGUACUAGGUAGGGUGCAAUUAAUUCCAAUGUUUCAGAGGAAAACUGCGCGUUUCUCGUACCGCGGCCGUGCCGGUAGAUUAACUGUGAAAAUUUGGUUUAAAAUCUGUUUACAGAAAUCCUGCCUGAAGUUUGAGGCGAUUACGAAAUACGGCUGUACAGUCUGUACUGUAAGUUAGGAUGAUAACCAUUAAUGAUAAUAACCAACAUUUUUAUUUAUAAAACGUUAGGCACUAAUCAUUGGAAAAUUGACAAAAAUACUAGUGCGUAAGCACACUAGCCCGUUAUUUUGCUAUGUUCACAGAAACCCUGAAAGGUUCAGGAUAUAUACGACCUCACGGUAAAUUAGGUAAAACUUUGUUAUUUUUUUUUACUGAAACAGCAAUCUUUGGAAUGUUAGGUUAGGUUGCCAAUAAUUCAAAUGUUUCAGAUAGUUGCAUCGACGUGCUGGGGUUUGGUAGAUACAAUAACAUAUUUGCAGAAAUCGGUUUAAUAUUUUUUCGCAGAAAUCCUGAGGUGCAAGCACAGUAUCCGGUACUGUAAGUCAUGAAAGCCCCCACUUUUGCGCAUUUAUCUAUGUUAGGGCAUUAGCGUAAGCAAAAAUCGUUUAUUUUUAUGUUCACAGAAAUUCCGAAGCUUAUAAAAGCAUGCAUUUACUGACGACAUACAUGACGCAUAAUACAGUUCAUGAUACUGUGAGUUAUAAAUAAUUUAGCUCCUAACGCUACUUGUGUGUGUAGGGAACUAGUAUAAGGCAAAAUCGGUUUUGACAAUGUUCACAGUAUUCCGGAUUCCCAAGGAUAGUCUCAGACAUAUGACGCAUUCGGGCGACAAACGGUCCACAGUGCUGUAAGUGACAUAACAGUUUUGGUAGGGCAGAAUAUAUGCAGAAAUCGUUUUCUCAAAUGUUCACAGAAAUCAUGAGUGCAGGAUUCAUUGGCAGUAAACCGUUCUUUCUGUAAGUCACGUUACUAUAUGCCUAUAGGCUAUCAUUAGCUAGAACACUAGCAUAAGCAAAAACGAUAAUUAAAAUGUUCACAGAAAUCCUGAGGGAUAGAAGCAAUCAUUUGUCACGUUCGGGCGGCAAUACAGUCCUCGGUACUGUAAGUUACGAACCCUCUAAACUUAAUCCUCAUUUAACGGCACUGUUAUCAGUAGGGCCAAAUUUGCAGGAAUGCGGAAUUUUUCUGUGCUUUCAGAAGCGAGUGGUGAUGAGAGAAUGAAACUACACGUUCGGAUGCUUGGUAAUAUGUAUAUAUUUAGAAGCUUUAAUUAGGUGUAGGUAGUUAUAUCGCAGAUGUCGUUGUUUUGAAUGCUUGCAGAAAUCCUGUAACUGAGCAUAUCGAGUAUCGUGUCGAGCGUCGCGAAACAGGAAUAAAGGUAUCGGAAAAUAUCUAGUCUAAAUAUUUGCAUGUAGGACGUGUUCUUUUUAGUUUGUUUCAGAUUGCCCCCCUUAGCGUUGUUAGAGUAGCGAUACCAGUGAUGUCCCGUGAAAGGUUAUGUUUAUGUAUUUAUUACCGUUAAAAAACGACAAGAAAAUUAAAUGUUGCAGUGGUUUCAUCAAUCCAGUUAGAUACAUCGCAAUGUGUGUAAGAAUUACUAAUUAAGACCUUGCAUUGAACUGUAUUUUCGCAGCGCUGAAUGUAUUAGAAUAGAUAGAUGUAGUCGUAGGAGUAGGGUUUACCAAUUUCUCUUGCAGGGUGGUUUCGUUCGGAUAUUCUUAAACCCAGCCUAUACAAAAUGUAUGUAAAUAAACGAUAACACUACCGAAAUUAAAUCCUAAGCACGAGCACGAUAAUCACGAAAAAUACCAAAUGGGAACAUAUAAGUAGUAGAUAAUGUUUAGUUGGAUGGUGCGUGAUUCGUGAUUUGUUAGAGGUUUGUUUUAGUUUCGUGUGCAAAAUAAUCUUGGGCUUAACUUGUGGUGGCAUAAGGGAAAUUUAAACUAAUUGGCAUAACUAAAGCAAUUAUUUUGCUGUUAAUGUUUUCGUUUGCUUUGCAUUCAACUUCUUUCGCCACCUACACUAAAUAGUAUCUUAUCUUUAAUCGAGCUAGUCUAGGUUAGUGUUACGUUUUGGUGAUUUCAGCACGUAGCAACAAGAGCUGUGGCUAACGUUAUUGACAUGUGCAAUUUAGUCUAAGCAUGAAGCUUGAAUGGUUCAUGGUAUCAAAACAAUUCUGCCGGCAAAUCCAGCUUGUGUGGUGCAUCGUAUCCAAAUCUGAUUUUAUGUAUUGUAAUAAUGCACAUAACAUUUUGUUGACGCCAAAAUCAUGUAAAUCACCACACUCUGAUGAUAUGUGUGCUUGAUAUUGAAACGUCAUCGGUAUGUUAUAAUAUAUUCAUUUCUUCAUGUUUAUCUUCAUGUCUUCGCUAUAGACCGCUUCAGUUGCAGACACUACCACACAAGUUUAGUGUUAUGCUCUAUUUCUGAUUUUGUCCUAGUUAAUUGUGUGUUUUUAAAGUUUUAAUAUAUUUGUUUGAUUAUGUAUAUUAUAGCUUUGAAUCAUUCUUACAAGGUAUUUCACUGUUAAUUUUGAUGCUAUAUUAUUAUAUUUUAAUUAAAAUGUGUUAACACUAAAUCCUGGUGUAUUGCAAGGUUUUGUUUGUCUCACUUUGAUAGAUAAUUUGUUUAUCCAAUCAUCCAAAUGUGCAUAUGCACGUGUAAGCUGUUUUUUUUCAUAAACGCUAUUUAUAAAUAAUAUAAAAAAGUUUAUCUGUUUAUUCUAUGUUUAAUAUUUUUAAUGCCAUAUUUGAUAACAACUUACAAUUAAGCUAAAUGGUGUCUAUAAUAUAUAUUUUUUACAGGAAUUUCUAUUACUCAUAAUUAAUAAGACGAUUAAAAUGAUGAUUUUAGUGUAAAUAUUAUCGAGUUGUUUUCUAUACCAAUUAGGUAGGAAAUGGAUCUAUUUUUAUACAUAUCACUUACGUACUUUUAUAAGAAUCACUUAGGAACUUAUAUAUUUCCGGGCGAUGACAUAGGUAGGAAGCUUCACAAAAUAAUUUUAUUUUGUAUUGCAUUGAAUUGUAAUUUGAAAUAAAAAAGUGAUUCCUGUGGAGUUUCUUGCGCCGCUUCUUCUCCACAGAAGGACACUUUCCGAAGCGGUGGUAGUUUUGUUAAAAGUAAUUUUUUGAAACAAUAAAUCAACAAUUUAAAAACAAUAAAUAAAUAUUUUUAAACUAUU